rnacentral:rRNA from 1 species
UACGUAGGGGCCUAGCGUUGUCCGGAUUUAUUGGGCGUAAAGAGCUCGUAGGCGGUUCGGCAAGUCAGCUGUGAAAUCUCCACGCUUAACGUGGAGGGGUCAGCUGAUACUGCCGUGACUCGAGUCCGGUAGGGGAGUGUGGAAUUCCCGGUGUAGCGGUGAAAUGCGCAGAUAUCGGGAGGAACACCAGUGGCGAAGGCGGUUACCUGGAGCUUUGCUGACGCUGAUGCGCGAAAGCGUGGGGAGCGAUCCGG